rnacentral:lncRNA from 1 species
GGCAGGGGGGCGGCCCCUUCCCCAAGCUCGGUUGGCCCUGUUCCUCCUCCCCUUCGCUAGCAGCUGCGCCUAGCCCGGGACUGGACCGAGUUAGAGUUGAGGCGCCGGAGGAGUAGCGCAGAGUGCGUGCGUCCCCCGCGGGGGGGUCCGUGCCUGCGAGCGGCGGGGAGCCGGGCUCCAGCCCAGUUUGGUGCAGCCUUGGCAGAGACCGACAAGGAGAGGGAGCUCUAUUGUGAGUGCUGUUUCUGUAUCUAUUUCUGCCUCAACUAGACCUGCUCAGGGAAGGCCUGACCCCCGCCGCCACCCCCCUUCGUCUCCGGGGGAUGGGGUAAAAGGAGGGGCCUCCAGGGUUGGGUGGGGAAAUUCCUGGGUCCAGCAGCUGCUGCCCUGGGGCGAAGCCCCAGUAAUGGCUGUGAGGCGGCUCCUCCUCGGGGUGGGCGCUGCUGCUGCAGACAUCGCUCCUGCAAUACCAACUCCGGCAAACAGACGACGGGCUGCCGCCGCUGCUCACGUUACCCGGCUCAGGAGGGAGGGGGAGGGCAUAUUUCGGGUGCCCUCUAGAGUUUUAGAGCGUACAUUAAAAUCCAUAACGAGACAGCUUUAGCCAUCUUUUUUCCCCCCGCUUUCUCCAAUCCCGUAUCCCGUGUAUCUUGAAGCUAAGAAGGGGAAUGGGAGGUUUAAAAUAACCCAGCAAUUUGUGGAGCGUACUCCAGCAUCUGGCCUUUGUGCACUUGGACCAGUUCUUUACGCUUGUGGGUUUGCUUGGGCGGUUUUGGUAGGUGUCUUUGCCUUUCUGUGUGCCUUGGCAGUACUUCUGAGCCAUCUGCUUUGCCCCUUCCCCAGAACACUGGAGGUCACUAGGGAAACCCACAGCUUCUCAGUAGUGAUCCUUUUCAGUGUUUUCAUCUGUAUGGGAUUUUCAAAGCAGAUUGUGUUCUCUGUUGGGUGUUAGGUCAGCUAAGGAGAGACCAAUUACCAAUCCCUGUACAUAGGACUGGGGAGUAAUUUGACACUGGGUUGCACCCUUUUAAUAACGUUCUUUGCCACGCAUAGUGGAAAACAGGUAUUCUGAAAUUAUGAAGUAGCGCAGUGAGGGCGAAAGUAACACGGUGGGUAUAGACGUUUUAGGAGCUCAUGAGUUUGGAUGUGAUUGUUGUCUGCAGGCUCUUGUCACUAGAGGCCGCUGCAAAAACCUUAGAUAGCCCUGAAAGAUCUGGUUAAUAAACGUGCGGCGCACAGAACA